AAGAACAGUUUAGUGGACACCAGGGGAAAGGUGGGGUGGGGGGUGGGCACAAAGGGUGAAGUGGUGCACCUACAACGUGACUGACAAACAUUAAUGUACAAUUGAAAUUUCACAAGAUUGUAACCUAUCAAUAACUCAAUAAAAAAAAAGAAAAAAAAAGGGCUAAUCAUAACUUUCUGUACAAGCUCCAAAUGUGUUCAAAGUGAUUAGAUUUACCUUUUUUAGCUUUGUAGCUAUCUCUGUAUCCCAGGACAUAAUCCUAGUCUUUAAUUUGGUCUCAAGGCAUCAUCCAAUGUAUAAAUACUUUACUUCCUCUUCUCCAGAUUUACUCUUCCUUCUAUGAUCUCCAGUAAGAUUCUGAACCUGGCAUUUAUUUGAGAUUUUAUUAUUAAAAAUCUCCUCCUGCCCAAUAUUUAAUCAAAUAAGGUGUUACUCUAUUAGAAGGAAAACUCAAUCUAGGAAAAGUAAAUUUAAGGAAAAAAGAGUAGUUUUGGAAAGGAGUGUUGGGACCCUGAAAAAAAAAAGAAUUAGGCAUCAUAAAACCUGGUGUCCAGUCCUAGCUCUGCUGCAUGCAGUGUGACCUUGAGGAAAUCAUGACUUUGAGGGUCUCACAAUAUCAUCAGCACAAUGCUAAGAUGAAAAUAUAAAGUCCCUGGGUUUCAUGUCUAGUUCUAAAAUCAAGAGCCAGAGGAAAAAUCACCUUUCCUUACAUGAAUUGAAUUGUAUUUCUUUUUCUUCUGCUCCAGCCAAUGCAGCUGCCUGUCCAGCCAUUACUGCUGAUAUAGGAAGCUUCUUUCUCGAUUCUGACUCUGCCUUCAAGCCACGACUUCGGAAAUAUCAGGCACCUCCAGAAGCAAGUGAUGCCACGAUGCAAGUGAAGCAAUGUAUAAAUAAGAUUUCUGCUGGGGACAGAGACAGAAUUGUAACGACCUUGGUCAUGAGGUUCAGCUGAAAAUGCCUACAGAUGCUGGAUUCUCAGUGCUGGAAACACAUGUGCCAUCAGGUUGAAUUUCCACACCCCGCAGCUGGGAAUCUCCUGAAAGCAGUACUUCCCAAGUCCUCUCACAACCCUGUCCACGUCUCUCAACCCUGUGUCCCCUUUGGAGUCUUCUGUCUGAGGGCAUAAAAAAAAAGAAAGCCUGCACUGCUCUGUCCAACCCUUCACCCACUCCUUCCAUAGAAACCUGAGUCCGACUCUCGGGUCACCUCAGGGUUUGUUUGCUGGCCUAUGGAAAUGGUUCUUUCCUGACUUUCAUGGUUGCUUGAAUUGUAUCUGAGUCUAUUUAGUUUAUUGCACACUAGGGUCCUGCCUGGUGUCUUCCAUUUGCCUUUUGUUGGUUGAAAUUUCAUUGACAUCUUGGUGUGAAGAACAGUCUAUGUUAAUGUGUCAUCUGCAGAACCAGCAUGACUGACCUCCCAUUUCUUUCUUUCUUUUUUCUAUUUUUUGGGGAUUGUAGUGUUGCAGUGUGGUGCGUGAAUCUUCUAAAGUAGUACCCCUGUCUUUCAAGGGCCACCUGCUCCUCCCUGGAAAAUGUAAAUGUUUCAACAUCUUGCUUUAAUAAAUUACUUGCCUUGCAUUUCUCUACUUGUCUU
rnacentral:lncRNA from 1 species